rnacentral:rRNA from 1 species
GACGAACCGUGCGAACGUUGUUCGGAUUCACUGGGCUUAAAGGGCGCGUAGGCGGGCGACCGAGUCGGGGGUGAAAUCUUUCGGCCCAACCGGAAAAGGGCCCCCGAUACUGGCCGCCUCGAGGGGGUAGGGGCAUGCGGAACUUCCGGUGGAGCGGUGAAAUGCGUAGAUAAUCGCUUGGAACGCCAAAGGUGAAAACAGGUUGCUGGGAAUGUGGCCGACGCUGAGACACGAAAGCCAGGGGAGCAAACAGG